rnacentral:lncRNA from 1 species
AACAGAUGCUUCGCUAUUAAAAUAUUUCCCCCCAAUACUGAAGAAUCUUAAACCAGCAACCCUAACAGAGAUUGCGAAGAUUUUCAAAGUGGGGCACCUCGAUUUCUCGAAUCUGUGGUGUGGCGAAUAUCCGUGUUCCUCCUGCUUAACUAGCCUGUUUGCAUCUUUUGACACAUUUUACUUCCGUAAUUUCGGACUGCCAGGCACAGUUCAUUCUCGAGCAAUUCGUCACCUCCUGGGGGUCUUCUCUUCCCGUCUACAGGAGAGUGUGACUUCAGAAAGAACUUCGGAUUGGCCAAGGCAGGUCUGAUUCUAUUUAUUCUAAAGACAGAGUUGGAGAUGGGCUACCAUUGGUGUUGAUUGAGAUGACAAGCAGUCACCUGAGCCCAUACAGCUGGGUUCACAGAUGUGGCUAGUCUUGCUAGCCAGCUCGCACUGUGGACAUUCUAGGGAACUGACUGCAGUCCUCAUGCUUGGAGUCAAACACUUUAACCACUGCACACGUUUAUGUAAUAGGAUUGACAUAUGAGAAUCAGAGAAAUGAAUGAAAGAUUAGAGUGGGAGAAAGUGCUUGCUGCCAAGCUUGAUGACCUAAAUUGAAUACCUGGAACCUACACGACAGAAAGAGAGAGCUGACUGCUGAAAGAUGUCCUCAGAUCUUCACAUGUGCACAGUGGCACCUAUCCAACCAUGCACAUAGUAUAUUAAAAAUUAUUUUUUAAAAAA